rnacentral:sRNA from 1 species
AUCCUGUAAUCGAAAUUUCGAUGUUCCUACAUAUUUAAGGCAAGGUCAUCUGCAUACAUGCUGCUUUUGACUUUUCUUGGAUGUGGAGCAUGAAAAAAUCAUGCUAGUGAAACAGCUGACACAAUUUAGAUCAAAAUACAACUACAUAACCAGACA